rnacentral:rRNA from 1 species
AAAUUGAAGAGUUUGAUCAUGGCUCAGAUUGAACGCUGGCGGCAGGCCUAACACAUGCAAGUCGAACGGUAACAGGAAACAGCUUGCUGUUUCGCUGACGAGUGGCGGACGGGUGAGUAAUGUCUGGGAAACUGCCUGAUGGAGGGGGAUAACUACUGGAAACGGUAGCUAAUACCGCAUAACGUCGCAAGACCAAAGAGGGGGACCCUCGGGCCUCUUGCCAUCGGAUGUGCCCAGAUGGGAUUAGCUUGUUGGUGGGGUAACGGCUCACCAAGGCGACGAUCCCUAGCUGGUCUGAGAGGAUGACCAGCCACACUGGAACUGAGACACGGUCCAGACUCCUACGGGAGGCAGCAGUGGGGAAUAUUGCACAAUGGGCGCAAGCCUGAUGCAGCCAUGCCGCGUGUAUGAAGAAGGCCUUCGGGUUGUAAAGUACUUUCAGCGGGGAGGAAGGG